GUGAGAGACAGUGUGUGUGUGUGUGUGUGUGUGUGUGUGUGUGUGUGAAUGAAUGUUAUUUUCAUUCUUUUUGUUUUAACCGUUGCUUUUUCGUAUUCAUCUGCAGGGGGACAAAGUGUGCGGACUGUGUUUCAGGAACUAUGCUAAUCUCAAGCAGCACCUCAAGGUCUCGCACUCGGUGCCCAACAAAGAUGAGUUUUCACUUCUGCUAAAAUACGGGAACGCCAGGACCACCCAGCGGCUGUCAUGCCAAAUUUGCAAUAGGCGCAACCUGGUCAGACUCAACAAGCACCUCAUCGAGGUCCACCUGCUGCCUUUAGAGGAUCGGGAGUUCACCCUCAAGGAGGCCAAGCGGGUGAGCAUAGUGAAGGAGUUUGCGGCACUGAGGAGGACCGAGCCUCAGGUGCCCAUGGUGUCCUCGCUUGAUGUGCAGUGCGACUACGACGAAGGUAAAUUUACACUGUGACGAGUGAAUUUGUCUAUGAAAGUUUCACUGUUGUACACAGUACAUGUGUCCCUGACCCGUCUGUUGUUUAACAUUGCAGGCGAGGCACCAGACAUGGAAGAGGACGACGACGACCCAAACGAGGCCGACCAGGCGAGUGAGGGGGAGGAAGCGCCGCUCCUCCACCUCUCCCUCAGCGAGGACUCCGAGGCUGGCGACGGCACCAUCGGCGGCCCCGUGCUUGCGUCGACACCGCAACGCUCGACAGUCGCCAGCCUCGGAGUCCCCCAACAGGGGGCCGUCGCCUGUCCCUCUUGGGCCCCCUCGGCCGCCGACCCCCCCUUGGCCAUCGCCCCGCCCAGCGGAGCCCAACCCACCGGUGUGGAGACUGCCAGCUCGCCGCAGUCCGCUAGCGCUGCCGCCUCCUCAAGCGGACUCGGUAGCCUCGGCAGCCACAACACCUCCGCCCUUGGCCCGGAUACCACCUGCCACUGCGGCUGCCAGAGCCUGGGGGAGAGGGUGAAAGUCCUUGAGGAUAGAGUGAGGCACCUGAUGCAGCGUCAGGAGGGCGCCGGCACGCCCAAAACUCCCAGGGGUGUGCCGGCGACCCUCACCACGUCGGCGCAAAAACACGAACACGUGGCGAAGCUGGGCAAGUCGGGGAAGGUCUUCGAGCUCGCGGUGGAAGACUACCGCAAGUUCAGGCUGGGAGGCAAAUUGGCGGCCAAGGACCGGGAGAACGCCAGGCAGUCAGCAAGCCACGCGCUGCGGUUCUGCCUAUACAUGGCGUCGACCCUGCCCGACAAGGCGGUCGCCAGCGACUUGAAAUUCCUCUUGCAGACGGACAAGCUGCGGGGGUAAGUGUGUUUUUUUUUUUUUUUUUUUUUUUUUUGGUCAGAGUGAUGAGAAAAUGGAAUUACGUGUUUGCAAGUAUGGGAAGUCUUUCAUCACUUACGAUUGCUUGCCUUCUCUUUUAGGUGGCCGCAGUACCUUCGGCAGAAGGGCUAUGCUGCCACCACCAUCCGCAACAUGCUCAACAAUGUGGUCACCUUCGUCCGGCACGUCCAAUGCUCCUUUACUAAACAGAGCAAGUUGAGAGCCUCCGACUUCCCCAAGCUCUUAUAUGAGUUCAAGCAGCUGAUGGCCGCCGUCCACAAGAACGUGGUGGUCCAUCGGCAAAAAGUGUCAAAGAGAAAGACCGGUAACGUUUCAUGUCGUCGUCGCCGUGUCAUUGUUGUUUUUACAUCCCGUCGUGUCUAAAGUUGUGACUUCGAACCUCUAAAAUGGGCUGCUUGCCACACUGUUUUCACAGAUGACCAGCUGGCGGCCUCCAACGAGGUGAAAUUCCUCCAGAUUUCCAAG
rnacentral:lncRNA from 1 species